GCAAUAGAAGCUGAUCAUUGCUUCUCGCCGAUUUGAUUCUCCCGUUGUGUCUUAUUUUCGGAAUCAAUCGAAGCAAUCUUCAAUUUCCCUUUCGAUUUUGUAGGAGGAAGAGCUCGGCCAUGGGAGAUCACGAGGCGAAAAGUUUUUCUCCCUCCUCCGUUCAACGACGCGACUCAGCCGUGAACUGUUUGUCUGGGUGGACGAGCAGUUGAAAGAACAGUUGUUAAAAAACAGUGAUCAGACAUACUGGGUACCUGAUCAUGUGAAGUGAUGAUGGUGAGGAAGUUGUUGUCAUGGAUUCUGUCGACAAGCUUGAAAAGCUCUCUGGUGUCAAGGUUUGUUUGUCUAUCUUUCUGCUGCAACUAUUUGUCAAGAAGG